AUAAAUCGACAACAAAAAUAACCACUAAUCCAUAAUUUCACAGUACCAACAACAUAACAAAAUAAUGUAAACUAUUUGAACCGUAUAACUAGUGUUAUUUUGUCUAAUAAUUAGUGAGUUAGAUAGCUAGCUAUAAUACAAGACAAUAAAGGGUACAUAAAAACUUCUGACACUUGAACAUAUGAUGAAGUCUUCCACAUGUCAAAUAUUUCGACAUCAUAACCUGAAAUAAUAAAAUAAGAUGGAUAUCAACAUUAUUUAUGAUAGGACAUAGUAUUACUACUGCUUUAUAACAUUUGACUACUAACAAUCAGACUCUGCACUUUGUCUAUGCACUUAUUUGUAACAAUAGUCCUAUUUGCAAGAAAUUAAAUUGUAUAGGCACAAUUUCGAGCUGGAGAACAAAAGUAUAGAUCCCAAAAUAUAUGUGCUUCAAAACUUAGAUAUGCAUAAAGAAUAAUUUAAAGAUAUUCAACUUAAAGUAAUUGGUUUGAAUCUAAGCUUUUCAUGAGGUGCAAGCUAGAAAGAAACUUUAAAGAUUAUAGCAUUUAUACAAGCUUUGCCAACGUGUAUUAUAUUUGCGUUCAAUAAUUACCUAUAUACUUUUAUUUGUUUUGUUUUUGGUUAAGCCCGCUAAAUGAAUAAGAGAAAUUACAUGAAGUUCCUCAAAUAAAAAAUGCAUAGAGGAGUACAAAAUCUAUUUUAAAUUAAGACUACAUACUAAAAGUUUACUUGGAGAAAGAAUCAAACAUUUAUAAACUAAUAAAAUCCUCGCUAGCUAAGUUACAAAUUAAGAGAGAGCAUACUAAUAAACAUUUACAGUGAAGAGUUGCAGAAACGGGAAUGGGCUUUUUGAGUGUUUGUACAUACUUGUUAGAUUUGCCAGAGAAGAUUUCAGGGAUUGAGAAUUCGAUUUGUUGUUCCUAUUGUAUAACAUUUUGCUUAGUAAAGUAAGGUGGUAGAGUUUUCUACCGCAUACAACAAAAGAAAGUUGUAAAUGACCAAACUCGUAUAUUAACAUUCCAUGGAGUACGCAAACAAUCAGAAUGCAAAUAUCGAUGAAAUGAAAGACAAAAACUCAUGUCGAACCUGGCUUGUUGGGUGUUUCUUGUUUUGCUUUCUUUGCCAGAGCCAGGAGCUACUUAGGAGAUGGAGCUGGUCUCUUUUUCUUUUCAACCUUCAUCAUAAAACAUCAAUCACAUAAAAGACAAUGCUAAUUAAGAUAAAUGAAAAAAAUGAACAAACAUAAAGAUAAAAAAUUUAGUACUACCUCUUUUUGAUGUCUCUUCUUCUAAAUCUUCAUCUCCAUCCAAAUCAUCAAAAAAAUCCAUUACUUAAGGACCAUAAAAAUCCUAGUAAUCCAAAAUUUAAAAAAACUACCUACACCCGGAAAAAAUAUAAGAUAAAGCAUUUCUCCCUGUAUUAAAAGGUAAAAUCUACAUAAUAAGCAUCACAAAAAACUUUAUGAAUGGCAUAGGCACAUCACUGGAGACAUCAUCACUACCAUCUUCAUUAUCCGAGUCAUCUUCAAAAUCAUCAUCAUCUUUGUUAGAUGUCGGUUCUUUUUUUGGUUCUGCCACCUUCGCAUUUUUCUCAAUAAAUGCAACCUUAGUAAGUGCAGACUUUUUUGAAUCAUGCUUUAUAUCCUUCACAUUAUCCUCAAGUUUUCCAUUUAUGCAUCUAAAACAUUCUCUUCAUGUAAAAAAAUAUCACCUCUAGAAUCAAUUUCAUCAACGCUCAGAUCAUCAAUUGUGCAUACAAUUAAAUACACACUCCCAUUUGUUUUAGUCAUGACUCAUGUAAAAUUUUAAACUCCUUUUCAAGGACCAAGUCAAACAUCAACUAAGGUCUAUCCUCUGCCGGUAGAGUUCCAAUGAUGUAAUUAUUUUCUCCAACAGUUAGGCGUAGAGGAACAUGUUUUACUUCUUUGGCAUACUUCACUUCAUCUAUUGCAGCCUACAAAAUAAAGAUCCCUAAUAGCCAUUUAAGAGUAAAGCCACAUUAUGCUAGCUUGAGAAAGAACACAAAUAUAAUUUAUUUAUUUUUAAAAAAAGAAAGCUAACCUUGUAAAUAUGAAUGAGCUUAUAAAGUUCAGGCUUGAUUUAGAAAUCGUCUUACUUUCACUUCAACACCUACACAUAGCUCAUGUGAAAGAUAUGUCACACUUUAAUAAAUUAUGUUCAUAUGGUGUAAUUUCUGCAUCAUGAAAAUAAUUGACCAAAACCGUUAAGGUAUAGAUUAAAAAAAUAAGCACAUGUGUUAGUGGUUCAAUUUAUGUAUAUACAUAUACAAACCGAUCUAUACCUUUUUCUAGUUAUUUGGUUUUGAUUCUAGUAUGCAAUUUUAACUCCUAUUUUCUCUGCAUCUAGUUGCUAGAAACAUAAAAAAAUUCCUUUAAAUGAUACAAACAUCUGUAGCAGAAAAAUCAUGACGUCUUAAGCCUUCAAGAUUCAAUCCAUGAAGCUUAACUUUUUUUCUCAGAUACAAUAAUAUACUUUGGAACAUCGUUAGAAACCUGGAGAACAAAAUGACUAAGAUCCUAAAAAGAUAUGUGAUCUUAAAUAUAGUUAGUGUGUUGCAGUCGUAUAAUAUAUGUGGAUCUUUUUCAUUCCUUGGUGGUGGUUCAGUGGUAAGAUUCUUUCUUAAUUUUUGAUGUCUUUUAAUUCUUUGAAAGACUCAAUACUCCUCGUAUGAUAAAUUAAGAUAUCAAUAGUUUCAUAUUUUGGUUGUUUUUCCUAAAUGCAAACAUAAUUCAAGAUAGCAAUACAUCUGUAAUUGCUAUACUUUUAAGUUUGUUUGUGAGAUGCACCUCAUUAAAGUUUAGUUUCGAACCACUUACUUUAAGUUGAAUAUAUUAAAAUUAGGUCUUCUACAUUUCUCAGAUUGAAAGCACAUGAACCAAUACGGUAAAUUAAUGAACAACAAUAGCUCCUGUAGUGUGGCCGUAGUCCUGUAUGUGAAGAAUUUAAAUUAUCAUCUAUCAGUUAUACUAAAUUUCCAGAAUAGGUCAUGCCUCAUGAAAAUGACUAAAACGAAAUAGUCAACCACAACAUGACCUGCAAGAAAUGUGGUGUUUUUCACUAGAAAGCAAUACAUAUUCUUUCAAUACGUUAAAACUAAAGUGUAUCUAUUUGAAGAUACAAAGAUUUAGUUGGUUGUGUAUAUACAAGGACAUCAAUUAAGAUUUCAGUCUCAAGUUUAUUCAUUUCCAAAUUUUCUAUAAUGGAUCUAAGAACGGAUUGAAGCUUUUAUCUGUAAGAGUUAUUGGCAUUCCACACAAGUUGAAUUAGAUUAGCCUUAUAUGAAACAAAUGCAUUAAUACUACAAAGUAGAAAUAUAUUCUUUUGCUUUGAUCGCUCAUUUAUUUCCUAUUAGUAUAGUAAAUUUUUAAUCAAACAUGAGUUCAUGAAGGAAUUUUUUUAUCCCUUAUAAACUUAUUAGUGAAUCAAAAGCUACUUAAUCUUUGCAAGAGAGUGAUAAGCAGUAUAACACAAUUAUAGCAUCCAAAUUACAAAUGACAUAAUAAUGCAUGAGGGAUAUCUUAAUAAAAUCAAAUUUCCUAUAACUUCUGGGAUUAUAUUUAUAGGAAAACAAGGAAUUUCACCUCAAAGGGAUAAGGGGCAGAACACAUAGGGUACAACCUCCACUAAUAAUACUGAUAAUUAUCACUAGCGAUAGUAAUAUUUUUGAGAUAGAACAAGAAAUAGUAUUGUUAUACUUUGUGGAUACACUCUACUCCAAGAUUUUCCUGAUCGGGACCUAGACUUUAGGUACUUUUUUAACACAUGAAUUUGUACAUCAGCAAAUCUACACAGGAAAGAAGCACAUACAUGAAGAAAGUAAUCUGAAGAUCUCAUUCAGUAACCUCUAAAAAUUCAUAAGCAUUUUUAUUUCCUAAAAUCUUAUACUCUUAGGAAACAUAAAUUGAUUGGAGUACACACACUAAUUCACCAACCUCUAAAAUUUCAAGAGAAUUUAGAUUUCCUAGCUUCUUACAAUUCCGCAGCAAUAAGACUCAAAGUCCUUCAAAUAUCGAUAGUUGAUGUUUGGAUAAAAGACAACUAGAAGGGACACUCUCCUCUCAUCUUCAAUGUUUCUCUCUUUGGUGAAUUCAACAUACAUAAUCUAAUGUUAUUCCUGUUUGAUCAAAAUAUUCAUCCGAGAACCUACGUUAUUUGGUAAUCAUACAGACAUAUAUUCAUGUGCGCUCUAGUUAUAUACAAACAUGAUUAUUCAAGAAAUCACCAUCCAUGUUUUUACAUAACUUCAAUUAGACUACAGAUCACACAUUAGUCACCUUAUAAUGUAAUAUAUAUUGAUGUUUUCAAGAAAUUAAAACAAAUCUCAAUCACAGAGAGAUCUGAAUGCUAUAGAUUCAGGUAAAAAACAUCAAUUUUUAUUAAUGAUACACAGAGAACUUCUGAACAACCAAAGUAAAGAUAAAAGAAUCGGCGAAACAGAGGAAUCAAAUCAAGUGAUUUUCCAUCAAUUCAACAGCAGUCAGAGAUCAUAUAUUAUGAUUUAACAAACUCAAGAAAUCUAUAAUUUCACAAAUCAUAGAUUGCCAUAGUUAGACAUCACAAAAUGCAAUUUGACAUGGUAUCAAGUAUUUCGGUACUUGAUAAGAAGAAUAUUUUACCAAAAAAGACCAAAAUGUUAAGGAGAAGAAUUAUUAAGGUAACAAUCUGAAACUUACAUGAAUGUAGAAGAUGAAGAUGAUGACAAGGAGAAGAUUUAAACAUCGGUGGUUCAGCAAUAUCGACCUAAAGUCAUGACUCUGACUAUAAAUAGAUGAUGUCUAGUGAUGGGUAAGGCUACCAUAGAAGAUGAUCAGCGUAUAUGGCAGUCAUGGUGCCGCGAGGCGGAGAGCUUUAGAGCAGCAAUGUGGAAUUAGAAUGAGUAGGGUUUUUAGUUAUUUCUUUUUGUUAAUUAUUGGAGGAAACAUCUAAAUUCUAAUAGUGGUGAAAAACUAGGAGGGAAAAAUGACAAAAUUGUUUUCAAUUAGUAAUUUUUACGUGCAAAUUAUUUUUAUUGUCGGUAAAAAAUAAAUUUUAGUGGCCAAUGUUUAUGGGCCAGUAGUAUCUCAAUGUAAAUAAUUAAUUAGUGGCAAUUGACUUAUUAUCAUUAAAUAAUUAUCGCUAAAAGGCGCCUUUUUGUAGUAGUGUGAGGUUCAUAUGCAAGGCAAUACUAGCAAUACUAAUGUGGGAAUUGUGGAAAAGGAGAAAUGCAAGAAGGCAUGGAAAGGAAAUUACUUUUUAUAAGCUAGAGCAAAAAUGUCAGACCAUAAUAACACAGCUUAUAAGAAGUAAAUACCCGUGGAUAACAGUUCCUAAAGGGUGGGACACAAUUGUAGAGGUACUAAGAAGAUACAGGCCAAGAUUGCACUAUCACGCUGUGAGGUGGAUAAAACCGCAACAAGAUAAAUUUAAGUGCAACACGGAUGAAGCUAGCAGAGGUAACCCACCCUGGAGUAAGUUCUUACAGUUUCUGUAUUCGAGAUUACAAUUAAAGCUUGAUAUAUGCUGAAGCAGAUGCUUUAGGGGAUAGAAACACUAUGAAAGCAGAGACGAUAGCAAUUCUACAGGCACUUAGUUAUUGCAAGAGAAACAAUCUUCAAAACAUCAUUGUGGAAACAGAUUCGUUAGGAAUAACAAAAAUGCUUAGACAGGAAUGGAGGAUCCCAUGGGGCCAGGCAGAUGACAUACAAGAGAUAUAAGAGUUACAACAACAUGUUCAGGCACACAUACAACAUGUAUUCAGGGAAGCAAAUAAUCUAGCAAAUGAGGCAUGUGACCUAGAGGGGAAGAUUCAGACGCAAACAUAUCAACAACUAUGUAAAGGAAUUUUAAAUACUGAUAAAGCCCAAAUACCAUCACUGAGGAUUAGAACAAGGAAGAUUACAGUACAUGGGCAACAUCAUGAGUAGAGAAAGGAAUAAUAACAAAGCAGAACACAGAUAUGAUAUGUACAAUCAGUUUUGCCAAUACAAGGCAUACAUAACUGUGCAAAAGACUACGCUACAUAGCAUGAGCUUUCUCAACUUACAAAUUCCACCAGCAAAAGUUGAUGCCUUCAAAUUCAGAUGGUAUCUGGAGCUGAAGAAGAGAGCACGCUUCUUGGAAUCUCCUUCUCUGCCUCAGCUGGAAAUAAGGAGAUUAGAGGUGGAUGAGAGACGGCAAAAAGAGAACAGAGAAGAAGGAACUCACUCACUUGGAAUCUCUUAUACAGGAAGAUGCAGAUUUGGAGAAAGGAAGAGCUGAGGAGAAGCAGAGGCGGAUGAAUCCACAACACAAGCUCAACAGGUGAACAUAUUGAAGAAAGAGCCGGACCAAAUAGGGUUA
rnacentral:lncRNA from 1 species